rnacentral:rRNA from 1 species
GAUGAACGCUAGCGGCAGGCUUAACACAUGCAAGUCGGAAGGGGUAACAUUGGUGCUUGCAUCAGAUGACGACCGGCGCACGGGUGCGUAACGCGUAUAGAACUUACCUUUUACAGAGGGAUAGCCUUUAGAAAUGAAGACUAAUACCUCAUAGUAUUAUAACUUGGCAUCGAGUUUUAAUUAAAGAUUUAUCGGUAAAAGAUGGCUAUGCGUCCUAUUAGUUAGAUGGUAAGGUAACGGCUUACCAUGGCGAUGAUAGGUAGGGGUCCUGAGAGGGAGAUCCCCCACACUGGUACUGAGACACGGACCAG